rnacentral:rRNA from 1 species
CACCAACGCCAGGGUACUACGAGCCCAGCUUAAAACCCAAAGGACUUGACGGUGUCCCACCCAACUAGAGGAGCCUGUUCUAUAAUCGAUGAUCCCCGAUUUACCCAACCCCAUCUUGCUAAUCAGCCUGUAUACCUCCGUCGUAAGCUUACCAUGUGAAUGUUCACAGUAGGUAUGAUGGUCUUACACCAAUACGUCAGGUCAAGGUGCAGCUUAUGAUGUGGAAAGCAAUGGGCUACAAUUUCUAAAAUAGAACACACGAAACACUACAUGAAACACAGCUAUGAAGGCGGAUUUAGUAGUAAAAAGGAAAUAAUGUGUCCUUUUUAACAAGGCCCUGGGACGUGU